rnacentral:sRNA from 1 species
UUUCGAAAACAGCCACUAUUUAUGCACACAGGGGUCGUCAGACAUAACAAUUCACAAGAUGAUACAUCAGAAUCAGGCCUUUCUUCUAUGGGACGAAUACCGGGCUCUUAAUCAACCAAGUUUCGGGCAUAACAGUCACAUAUCGUAUAACGCUUCAAGAACAUACUCAGCCCUCGCUUGCUCGAAUCACUCCUUCUAAAGCAUCUAUUCACCUAGAUUCAAUAUUCGCACCAUAAACAUGCAUCAAACUGCGGCCACAA